rnacentral:rRNA from 1 species
UACGGAGGGUGCAAGCGUUAUUCGGAUUCACUGGGCUUAAAGGGUGUGUAGGCGGGUAAUUAAGUCCGCCGUGAAAUCUCUGAGCUUAACUCAGAAACUGCCGUGGAUACUAUUUGCCUUGAAUAUUGUGGAGGUGAGCGGAAUAUGUCAUGUAGCGGUGAAAUGCUUAGAUAUGACAUAGAACACCAAUUGCGAAGGCAGCUCACUACACAAUCAUUGACGCUGAGGCACGAAAGCGUGGGGAUCAAACAGG